GUCUACUGCCAUACCAUCCUGAAUGCACCCAAUAUUGUCUGAUCUCGGAAGCUAAGCAGGGUCAGGUCUGGUUAGUACUUGAAUGGGAGACUGCCUGGGAAUACUGGGUUCUGUAGGUU
rnacentral:rRNA from 1 species